rnacentral:rRNA from 1 species
UACGAAAGGAGCAGGUGUUAUUCAGAUUAACUGGGCGUAAAGGGCACAUAGGUGGUUUAUGUGUAUUAUUAAAUUGUAAAGCAUAACUUUAUAACGUAUUACAGACAACAAAACUAGAGUUAGGUAGAGGGUAGUAGAAUUUCUAAUGUAAAGGUGAAAUGCGCAGAUAUCAGGAAGAACACCGGUGGCGAAGGCGGGUCUCUGGGCCGAUACUGACGCUGAGGAGCGAAAGCGUGGGGAGCGAACAGG